rnacentral:rRNA from 1 species
AUAUUGCACAAUGGAGGAACCUCUGAUGCAGCGCCGCCGCGUGAGUGAAGAAGGGCUUCGGAUCGUAAAACUCUGUCCUGGGCGAAGAAAGAAAUGAGGGUAGCCAAGGGGGAAGCGCCGGCUAACUACGGUCCAGCAGCCGCGGUAAUACGUAGGGGGCGAGCGUUGUCCGGAUUUACUGGGCGUAAAGGGUGAGUAGGCGGUGAUAUGUGUCAGAUGUAAAAGGCUAUGGCUUAACUAUAGUUAGCAUUUGAAACUGUAUUACUUGAGUGCAGGAGAGGUAAGUGGAAUUCCUAGUGUAGCGGUGAAAUGCGUAGAUAUUAGGAGGAACACCAGUGGCGAAGGCGACUUACUGGACUGUAACUGACGCUGAGUCACGAAAGCGUGGGUAGCAAACAGG